GCUACUAGUUUUCCAAUUACACCAUAUCGAGCCAAAGUUGUGAGUUGGUUGGUUGGUAGUCCAACAUGAGAGAGUUGAGGAAGACUCCCUGCCCAAUUUUAACACCCGAGUCCACUUACUACCUGCUCCACAGUUUCGAAUAAUAGUCCCUUCUUUUGUAAGUCUGUCACCAUUGUCCACUGGUCUACCCUCUCUUUCUCAACUCACUCCUUCUCAGUCGGAGUAUUUCGCGCCCUUUUUGGUUGGGUUUGUCUUUUGGUUAGUUGUAGUGUUGUCACUAAACUGUCACUAGUCAGUCGCAAGGGCCAGUUAGUUCAGUUCAUCAUGUAUUGAAUACAGAUUACAGUUCAUGUUUCCAGUGUUUUAUCCGGGAAUUUAUUUGUUUUGAAGUCACUUGAUCUUCUAUUAUCAAUGAGACGUAUGUCGCGUCAUGCGCCGAUACAGCUUUGGAGGGGCGCACAAUCACGAGUAUCAUGGGGAAGCUGGUGACCCUUCGUUGCCAUAUACUUUUCGUGGAAAAGAGUUCAACGCAAGGACGACCAUGAGAUAGAGAAAAAACCAUUCAAGGACCUUCUCAUAACUAAAGUUAUGAUUGACAUGGAGAAAAGAAGAAGAAACAGUCGUCUGCUGAAGUCAAUGAAGACGAGACACUUGAAAAUUUUAAUUUGGAGCUCCAGCCAUAAAAUACAAUUUGUCGCAUUACUAUGUUAAUGAUGAAUGUUCAAGUAAAGGAUUUAUUCAUCAAUUUUGAAGUUAUGUAAUUUUUUCACAUCCAGCUGAAUAUACUAUUUAUUCUAUAAAGGAGAUUAUAUGUCAAUGAUUUUGAAUCAUUCUGAAGAACUUAUUCAAUCAUUUCUAAAGUGAUUUAAAGUAGUUUAUUAAUCAUAAUUUUGCUCACUUAAAGCAUUGUAAAUCAUUGUAGAGUGAUUUGAGAGUAAUUUAAAAGUG